GACGGAGGAUGCAAGCGUUAUCCGGAAUGAUUGGGCGGUAAAGCGUCCGCAGGGUGGCAGGUUCAAGUCUGCUGUCAAAGACCGGGGCUUAACUUCGGAAGGCAGUGGAAACGUGAACAGCUGAGAGUAUGGUAGGGGCAGAGGGAAUUCCUGGUGUAGACGGUGAAUGCGUAGAGAUCAGGAAGAACAUCGGUGGCGAAGGCGCUCUGCUGGACCAUAACUGACACUCAGGGACGAAAGCUAGGGGAGCGAAUGGGAAUUAGAUACCCC
rnacentral:rRNA from 1 species